UACGAAGGGGGCUAGCGUUGCUCGGAAUUACUGGGCGUAAAGCGCGCGUAGGCGGCUUUGCAAGUCAGAGGUGAAAGCCUGGAGCUCAACUCCAGAACUGCCUUUGAAACUGCAUCGCUAGAAUCAUGGAGAGGUGAGUGGAAUUCCCAGUGUAGCGGUGAAAUGCGUAGAUAUUGGGAGGAACACCAGUGGCGAAGGCGGCUCACUGGACCGGAACUGACGCUGAGGCGCGAAAGCGUGGGGAGCAAACAGG
rnacentral:rRNA from 1 species